GACGAACGCUGGCGGCGUGCUUAACACAUGCAAGUCGAACGCUGAACCCGCUUCGGUGGGGGAUGAGUGGCGAACGGGUGAGUAACACGUGGGCAACCUGCCCCCGGCUCUGGGAUAACUCCUAGAAAUUGGGGCUAAUACCGGAUGUGACCGCUGGCCGCAUGGUCUGGUGGUGGAAAGGGUUUCCGGCUGGGGAUGGGCCCGCGGCCUAUCAGCUUGUUGGUGGGGUAGUGGCCUACCAAGGCGACGACGGGUAGCCGGCCUGAGAGGGUGACCGGCCACACUGGGACUGAGACACGGCCCAGACUCCUACGGGAGGCAGCAGUGGGGAAUAUUGCGCAAUGGGCGGAAGCCUGACGCAGCGACGCCGCGUGGGGGAUGACGGCCUUCGGGUUGUAAACCUCUUUCAGCAGGGACGAAGCGCAAGUGACGGUACCUGCAGAAGAAGCACCGGCCAACUACGUG
rnacentral:rRNA from 1 species